CAAAAAAAAAAAAAAAAAAAAAAAAAAGAGGAAAAAACCCAACAACCUCAAAACCCCAAAACCCAAAGAAUUUCCAGAAGCCAGUUCCUUUCUUUGCUCUACCCGUCUUUUUCCUGCCCGGGCUGGCAGGCAAAACUGGGUGCUUCCCUUUCCGAAAAAAAUUUCAUUCCUUCCCCCCCCCCCCCCCGGUUUACCUCUGGUUGCUCAAGAGCUACCUACAUGGGGGGCGGGGGGAGAAAGACUGAGGCCCUGCGCCAGCUCCUUAAGCAGCCAGGGGCCCCUGCACCACCUUCCCAGCUGAGGUGGGUGGCACCUUUGGAGCUUUGGCCUCACGGGAGAGGAGCUGUGAUUUUCUGGGCUGGGGAUCAAGGGCCAUCCGUGGAACAAGAUUGUGUCGGCAGAGCCUUGCUCUGGCGUUGGUUGGGAAAUGUGGAAGGAGGAACUACGAGCAAGUGUCCGCUGGGCUGGCACAGGCCCCUUCCGCUGCCUGCUGUGGGCAACCCCCGUGGGCUGGGCACAGGGGAUGGGGGGGGUCUUUCAAUCCCGCCGUGGGGGGCUCUGGUGGGGCGCCAGGUUCCCCAUGCUGGGGGCCUGUGAACCUGGAAGGGGGCUGCUGAGAUGGGCCCAGCCCAGGCUGUGGCCCUGCGAGGUGGGGCUGGCACUGCCACUGGGGACCUUGCCCGGUCAGGAGACACCUGGUUGUUGGCGUCCAGGCCCCGGGGGAAGCAGAGCAGCCCCCUGAGGGGUUUCCCUGAGGCCUGAGCAUUAUGUAAUCUGUCUGCGCUUUAGAGCGUGGCCCAACCCAAGCACUCGAUUGAGAAAUAUUAGCCCAAAUGAAACACAGGUGAAUUUGCGUGCAGUUUGCUACAACCGAACGCCCCACGUGGCCCCGCCUCGAGCUGCCGAUGUGUCAGGUGUGUGGUGUUGGUCGCAGCCGUCUGUAAGAUGCCCAUCGUUCUUUUACUUAGCCGUCUACACAGCCCUUCUCAGACCCAUCUGGUAAUUAUGUGGUUAAUUGUGUGGGCUUCAGGCACAAGACUCAGAGUGAUUGAUCUGGAUUCAAACCAAUAAACAAACCACAUUCACUCUUAAAGUCUGUCUACACUGAUCCAAUUAGCUGGAUGGUGGUCAGAGUUACAGACCAGGCUGCCAGGACCACAGCUGUACCAGGCCCUGGUGGAGGCGUCCUGGGGGGGGCGUGGGGGUGGCGGCGUUCAUCCCACCUGGCAGGCGGCUCCAGCUGGGGCCACCCCUCAGGUGGACAGACCUCCAUCCCUGCUGGGGAGAUGAAUGCAGCCUGGGGCCCCGGGGGCCGGAAGCCUCACCCCCUGCCCUGGCUGUAAACUUUGCCUCCUGUGGGGUCAGGUUGGAGCUUGCCCCUGGCCUAUCUGCUGGGCCAGUUACUCAUUAAAUCCUUGCAGAGUCAACAGUGUGCCUGACAUGGCUGGUGACAGCGCCAGGCCUGAUGCACUCUGCGCUGGAGACUUUGGAUCCGGAAGGCUCAUAAACAAAGAAGGGAACACAAAGGCGACAGCGACCUGGCUGUCGUGGGGGGGGUGGGAUUGGGUGACAUCCGCCCCUCCCUGGGGCACACAUGACCUCGCCUUGUGGGGGGAAGGGCCCUUCUGCCCAGGCCGUGGCCUCGACAUGGGGCCUCAUUCCCCUUUCUCGUCCUGACUCCCAGUCCCCGGGCCUCCCCUGGGCUUGUCGUGGCUGCCGACCGUGGUGCGGGUUGUAGCCAACGGCCAGGAGUUCUGCAGAAGCCAGGACGAUUCGGGUCCCUGAGACCAGAAUCCAUUUUGCUCUUCUUGUGUCUGGGCUGAAUUCGGUCACCUGCUCGGCAUGUUUGUCCGCCGAAGAGGGCUUUGUCCGUCCGUGUGCUUUGUCUCCGCUGCGCCAGAGGAGUUCGGAUGCUUACCUUUAUUUUAACGUGUGGCACAAGGCGUCUCAGAAUGGCAGGUCCACUCUGAAAAGUCUUUUAUUCAUUGACCGGAGGUUGGAGCCCAGAUGACCGUGGCCCUCUUUAUCCUCGAGCCUCACUUCAUCGAUGGCUUGUCUUUAAAUUAUCACCACUCUGCUGCUCCAACUGAAAUGUCUCUGGGCUUUUUGUCAUGAAAGGCAGAGAGGAGUCACCUCGCUUCUCGUCGGUUUCUUUAGCCUGGGGUUGCCUUGGGGGUGGCAGCCUUCUGAACUUGGACUCACAGGUGCCACGGGCCUCGUGGGUGUCAAGUGCCGAAUUCUUCCCGAUGGCGGAUUCCUCUUGGGAGUUAAAACCUGUGUCCUCCCGUGUGGUCAUAAGUCCCGUGGGAACCCGCCUGCGUCCACGUGCACAUGCGUGUUCCUUCUUUCGUCGCUUGCAUCUCCUCCUCUUACCCCUUCUCCCCGCCUUGGGUUUAUUUGAUGUGUUUCUGUAGCAAUAAGUAAACACGAAGAAUUUUUUUUCUCCCUUUCAGUGAUAUUUGUCAUAAAAUUUUGGACUAUAUCAGAUUUGUUUCCCAGGUAACUUGUGUGAUUGGAGGUGGGGGGGCAGAGACAGACGAAGAGGGAAAAAUCUCAAUUCUCUGUAAACAGCACACGUGGCCUGCCUUCCCCAGACUGUAAUAAAUAAGGGCAUUUCGCGGGGGGCAUAGUUGUCAUACUGCCAUUCUCCUGGUGCAAUCCGAGAUGGCCUUUCUGGCCACAGGCAGAAUGGUGCCAGUCCAGGUAGGAGGUCCUGUGGCUCACGGCUGGGCUGGAGCCAGCUUGGGCUCUGAGGCUCACAGGUGGCUCUGCACGGCAGUGCCCGCUCCUUGGUGCCAGCUGGGUGCCCGCUGACUCACCUGGCAGUGGGAGAGGGCAUGGCUGGGGCACCGUGUCCAGCGAGGCUUAGGGGGAGCCCGGUGGCCACAUCGUCCUAAAAAGCAAAGCUCUCUCAGGCUUGGCCGGCUUGGCUGGCACCCCCUUGGUGUUUUGGUGGAAUGGACGUCUGAGAUGGUCAAGUUAUGCCUUUAAUUAAAGGAUUAAAUGAGACUAAGCAAGGCAGCCUCCUGGUUCGGGGUGUCUCCAGUGCGGAGCAGCGUAAAGGGGUUUGCUGUCAGGUGAAGAUUCCCAGGUUACAGCUUCCUGGCUGGGUGACUUUUGGAACCUGCUUUCCCUCCCUGGGCGCUCUCUUCCUCCACUUGGGCACGGGCUCCCUCCCAUGUCACUUACCAGGUUACCGAAGGAUUGGCAAUAACUCAGAUUAGCACUGAGCAGGACGGCCAGCACACAGUAGGGGUGUGACAAGGGGCCAGCAUUCCAAUGUGUGUUUUCCUGAUUACCCUGAGAGAGAGCUUUGUGAAAUUCUCUACAGGAGUUCUCGUUGUGGCUCAGCGGUAACAAAACCAACUGGUAUCCCUGAGGAAUCGGCUUCGCUCCCUGGCCUUGGGAUCAGUGGGUUAAGGAUCCAGUGUUGCCGUGAGCUGUGGUGUAGGUUGAAGACACGGCUCAGGUCCCGAGUUGUUGUGGCUGUGGCUGUGGCUGGCAGCUGCAGUUCCGGUUGGACCCUUAGCCUGGGAACUUCCAUAUGCCGCAGGUGCGGCCCUAAAGAGCCAAAAAAAAAAAAAAA
ensembl:lncRNA